GACGAACGCUGGCGGCGUGCUUAACACAUGCAAGUCGAACGGAAAGGCCCUGCUUUUGUGGGGUGCUCGAGUGGCGAACGGGUGAGUAACACGUGAGUAACCUGCCCUUGACUUUGGGAUAACUUCAGGAAACUGGGGCUAAUACCGGAUAGGAGCUCCUGCUGCAUGGUGGGGGUUGGAAAGUUUCGGCGGUUGGGGAUGGACUCGCGGCUUAUCAGCUUGUUGGUGGGGUAGUGGCUUACCAAGGCUUUGACGGGUAGCCGGCCUGAGAGGGUGACCGGCCACAUUGGGACUGAGAUACGGCCCAUACUCCUACGGGAGGCAGCAGUGGGGAAUAUUGCACAAAGGGCGGAAGCCUGAUGCAGCAACGCCGCGUGCGGGAUGACGGCCUUCGGGUUGUAAACCGCUUUCGCCUGUGACGAAGCGUGAGUGACGGUAAUGGGUAAAGAAGCACCGGCUAACUACGUG
rnacentral:rRNA from 1 species